GGGUAAGCGUAGGCGGCUGAUUAAGUCAGCGGUGAAAGGUAGCAGCUUAACUGUUUUACAUGCCGUUGAUACUGGUUAGCUUGAGUUGACAGAAGGCAGAUAGAAUUCCUGGUGUAGCGGUGAAAUGCUUAGAUACCAGGAGGAAUACCGAUUGCGAAGGCAGUCUGCUGCAGUCACACUGACGCUGAGGCUCGAAGGUGCGGGGAUCAAACAGGAUUAGAUACCCGAGU
rnacentral:rRNA from 1 species